GGUGAUGUAGCUCAGUCGGUUAGAGCAUCGGAUUCAUACUCCGGGGGUCGGUGGUUCAAGUCCACUCAUCACCACCA
rnacentral:tRNA from 1 species